rnacentral:rRNA from 1 species
GAUGAACGCUGGCGGCAGGCUUAACACAUGCAAGUCGAGCGGGCGUAGCAAUACGCCAGCGGCAGACGGGUGAGUAACACGUGGGAACGUACCUUUUGGUUCGGAACAACUCAGGGAAACUUGAGCUAAUACCGGAUGUGCCCUUCGGGGGAAAGAUUUAUCGCCAUUGGAGCGGCCCGCGUCUGAUUAGCUAGUUGGUGGGGUAAAGGCCCACCAAGGCGACGAUCAGUAGCUGGUCUGAGAGGAUGAUCAGCCACAUUGGGACUGAGACACGGCCCAAACUCCUACGGGAGGCAGCAGUGGGGAAUCUUGCGCAAUGGGCGAAAGCCUGACGCAGCCAUGCCGCGUGAAUGAUGAAGGUCUUAGGAUUGUAAAAUUCUUUCACCGGGGACGAUAAUGACGGUACCCGGAGAAGAAGCCCCGGCUAACUUCGUGCCAGCCGCCGCCGUAA